rnacentral:tRNA from 1 species
AGCGCAGCUUGGUAGCGCGCCUGCUUUGGGAGCAGGAUGCCGCAGGCAAACCCGGUA